rnacentral:SRP_RNA from 1 species
GCCGGGAGUGGUAGUAUACACCUGUAAUCCAACUACUCGGAGGUUAGGUAUAGAGGAUGUUUUAAAAGCGGGGAAUUCUGGGAUUCGAUUUUUCACGUUGACUAAACAUUCGCUAGGGAUUAAUCUUCGACAUGGAUUCAUUGGGGGAGCCCGAGGUAGCCCGGUUGAGUUGGAAAAGGGAAAAAAUCGGCCCAAAAGUUAUCGAGUUGAGAGUCGUCGGUUCAAAUUCUGAGAGCGAAAGUUCAAUUUCGGAUCUUCCAAACAAGAACAAAUUUGUACCUAA